UCUGAGCUACUAGUGGCCGUAUAUGCCGAGGAGGGCGACAGGGACUGGCAGCUGUCCAUGGCCGUUUUACCACAGGCGAGACAAACAGCUGAAACAAGAAGCCACGUGCUGGCGCCUUGCCAGGAACACCACCACGCACUGCCGCCGGCACGUACAAAAAAUCACCAAUGGUCCCGCACAGCUGCAACAACGCAAGGAUGUGACAAGAGGCAGCCCCGCGAACAAGGACGGACUGAACACGAGAACACUGAGGCUGG
rnacentral:lncRNA from 1 species